GUGCUCACUUUGGCAGCACAUAUACUAAAAUUGGAACAAUACAGAGAAGACUAGCAUGGCCCCUGUAAAUUAAAAUUUUAAAAAAGAGAAAACGCUAUCAUUU
ensembl:snRNA U6 U6 spliceosomal RNA